rnacentral:rRNA from 1 species
ACGCGCAGCGAGAGGUGCUUGCACCUUUCAAGCGAGUGGCGAACGGGUGAGUAACACGUGGAUAACCUGCCUCAAGGCUGGGGAUAACAUUUGGAAACAGAUGCUAAUACCGAAUAAAACUUAGUAUCGCAUGAUAUCAAGUUAAAAGGCGCUACGGCGUCACCUAGAGAUGGAUCCGCGGUGCAUUAGUUAGUUGGUGGGGUAAAGGCUUACCAAGACAAUGAUGCAUAGCCGAGUUGAGAGACUGAUCGGCCACAUUGGGACUGAGACACGGCCCAAACUCCUACGGGAGGCUGCAGUAGGGAAUCUUCCACAAUGGGCGCAAGCCUGAUGGAGCAACGCCGCGUGUGUGAUGAAGGCUUUCGGGUCGUAAAGCACUGUUGUAUGGGAAGAAAUGCUAAAAUAGGGAAUGAUUUUAGUUUGACGGUACCAUACCAGAAAGGGACGGCUAAAUACGUGCCAGCAGCCGCGGUAAUACGUAUGUCCCGAGCGUUAUCCGGAUUUAUUGGGCGUAAAGCGAGCGCAGACGGUUGAUUAAGUCUGAUGUGAAAGCCCGGAGCUCAACUCCGGAAUGGCAUUGGAAACUGGUUAACUUGAGUGUUGUAGAGGUAAGUGGAACUCCAUGUGUAGCGGUGGAAUGCGUAGAUAUAUGGAAGAACACCAGUGGCGAAGGCGGCUUACUGGACAACAACUGACGUUGAGGCUCGAAAGUGUGGGUAGCAAACAGGAUUAGAUACCCUGGUAGUCCACACCGUAAACGAUGAAUACUAGGUGUUAGGAGGUUUCCGCCUCUUAGUGCCGAAGCUAACGCAUUAAGUAUUCCGCCUGGGGAGUACGACCGCAAGGUUGAAACUCAAAGGAAUUGACGGGGACCCGCACAAGCGGUGGAGCAUGUGGUUUAAUUCGAAGCAACGCGAAGAACCUUACCAGGUCUUGACAUCCUUUGAAGCUUUUAGAGAUAGAAGUGUUCUCUUCGGAGACAAAGUGACAGGUGGUGCAUGGUCGUCGUCAGCUCGUGUCGUGAGAUGUUGGGUUAAGUCCCGCAACGAGCGCAACCCUUAUUGUUAGUUGCCAGCAUUCAGUUGGGCACUCUAGCGAGACUGCCGGUGACAAACCGGAGGAAGGCGGGGACGACGUCAGAUCAUCAUGCCCCUUAUGACCUGGGCUACACACGUGCUACAAUGGCGUAUACAACGAGUUGCCAACCUGCGAAGGUGAGCUAAUCUCUUAAAGUACGUCUCAGUUCGGACUGCAGUCUGCAACUCGACUGCACGAAGUCGGAAUCGCUAGUAAUCGCGGAUCAGCACGCCGCGGUGAAUACGUUCCCGGGUCUUGUACACACCGCCCGUCACACCAUGGGAGUUUGUAAUGCCCAAAGCCG